rnacentral:rRNA from 1 species
UACAGAGGUGGCAAGCGUUGUUCGGAAUUACUGGGCGUAAAGGGCGCGUAGGCGGUUCUGUAAGUCCCGCGUGAAAUCCCCCGGCUCAACUGGGGAACUGCGCGGGAAACUGUGGGGCUAGAGUUCAGGAGAGGGAAGCGGAAUUCCGGGUGUAGCGGUGAAAUGCGUAGAUAUCGGGAGGAACACCAGUGGCGAAGGCGACUACCUGGCCUGUUUCUUGACGCUGAGGCGCGAAAGCUAGGGGAGCAAACGGG